rnacentral:rRNA from 1 species
UGGGGAAUCUUGCGCAAUGGGCGAAAGCCUGACGCAGCAACGCCGCGUGUGUGAUGAAGGUCUUCGGGUUGUAAAGCUCUGUGGAGGGGGACGAAUAAGGGUUGGCUAACAUCCAGCUCGAUGACGGUACCCCUUUAGCAAGCACCGGCUAACUCUGU